CAUUGCUUCUCAUCAAUAUUCCUCAUAACAAAUCCAUCCAUCCUUUGUAAAACAAGCUCAACCCUUGCUUCUCAUCAAUAUUCCUCAUUAAGAAUCCAUUCAUUCUUUGUCAAAAAAGCUUUGGUUUAUCGGCAGCUCCGUCCUCAAUAUACACGCUAAAAUGCAGGUUUCUUUCUUUACCCUUCGAUAGCUCAGUUGGUAGAGCGGAAGGACUGUAGGCUGAUAUUCAAUCUGCAAUUAGCAGGUAUCCUUAGUGUCGCUGGUUCAACUCCGGCUCGAAGGACAUUUUUAUAAUGUUGUCCGGUUUGGGUCAACAGGUAUUUCCUGAUCGCAAACCCUUGCUUCUUGUCAAUAUUCCUCAUGACAAAUCCAUCCAUUCUUUGUAAAACAAGCUCAACCCUUGCUUCUCAUCAAUAUUCCUCAUAACAAAUCCAUCCAUCCUUUGUAAAAAAAGCUCAACCCUUGCUUCUCAUCAAUAUUCCUCAUUAAGAAUCCAUUCAUUCUUUGUCAAAAAAGCUUUGGUUUAUCGGCAGCUCCGUCCUCAAUGUACACGCUAAAAUGCAGGUCUCUUUCUUUACCCUUCGAUAGCUCAGUUGGUAGAGCGGAGGACUGUAGGCUGAUGUUCAAUCUGCAUUUAGCAGGUAUCCUUAGGUCGCUGGUUCAACUCCCGCUCGAAGGACAUUUUUAUAAUGUUGUCCGGUUUGGGUCAACAGGUAUUUCCUGAUCGCAAACCCUUGCUUCUUGUCAAUAUUCCUAAUAACAAAUCCAUCCAUCCUUGGUAAAACAAGCUCAACCCUUGCUUCUCAUCAAUAUUCCUCAUUAAGAAUCCAUUCAUUCUUUGUAAAACAAGCUCAACCCUUGCUUCUCAUCAAUAUUCCUCAUUAAGAAUCCAUUCAUUCUUUGUCAAAAAAGCUUUGGUUUAUCGGCAGCUCCGUCCUCAAUAUACACGCUAAAAUGCAGGUCUCUUUCUUUACCCUUCGAUAGCUCAGUUGGUAGAGCGGAGGACUGUAGGCUGAUGUUCACUGUGCAAUUAGCAGGUAUCCUUAGGUCGCUGGUUCAACUCCGGCUCGAAGGACAUUUUUAUAAUGUUGUCCGGUUUGGGUCAACAGGUAUUUCCUGAUUGCCAACCCUUGCUAACAAAUCCAUCCAUCCUUUGUAAAACAAGCUUUGGUUUAUCGUCAGCUCCAUCCUCAAUAUACACGCUAAAAACCAGAUCACGUUCUUUACCCUUCGAUAGCUCAGUUGGUAGAGCUCAGUCCCUCUUCUCCUACUUACAAAGCUGGUAAUCACCUUGACUACAUCUUCACUAGAAACUGCUCUACUCCACAGAGUUACCUCCACAGACGUCUCUGACCACUUCUUCAUCUCUUACUCUCUCCCACUCUCUGUAACUAACGACCCUGCCCCAUCAACUGACCCUGUACCUGUUUGUCGCAACAUUCGCUCCCUCUCUCCUUCCUCUCUGGCUUCCUCUGUUCUAUCAGCUCUCCCUUUAAUUGUCUCCUUCUCACUCCUGCAUCUGAACGUUGCCACAGAGACUCUCCUCUCAACUCUUUCCUUCUCUCUCGACUCUCACUGCCCUCUUACUACACAACAGGCUUUUAAAUCCCCUCCGGCUCCGUGGCUGCCUCAACCGGUGCGUGCCGUGAGAGCCACAAUGCGAGCAUCGGAAAGGAGAUGGCGUAAAUAUACAACAACCUGCUGACCUGCUUGCAUUUCAAUCUCUCAUUUUUCUGCUUCUAUCUCUGCUGCCAAAAGCUCCACUACCAAUCUUCUACCAAUGCAGAAUUGAAUCUUCAUCUCCUUCUAUCUCCACCGACAGGUUCCAACAACCUCCUUGAUCCCCACCAGUCAGGCUUCAAGGCAGGCCAUUCCACAGAGACUGCUCUCCUUGCUGUCUCAGAAACUCCACACUGCUUGAGCAGCUUCUCUUUCUCCCCUGUCCUCAUCCUUCUGGACCUCUCUGCUGCAUUUGACACAGUCAACCACCAGAUCCUUAUUUCCUCCCUUCAGGAACUUGGUGUCUCAGGCUCUGCUCUCUCCCUUCUCUCGUCCUACCUUGACGGCCGCACCUACCGGGUAACCUGGCGAGGAUCUGUGUUGAACCGUGUCCUCAUACUACUGGAGUUCCUCAGGGUUCCGUCCUGAGUCCCCUGCACUUCUCGCUCUACUCCUACCACAGCUAUGCCGAUGACACCUAACUAAUUCUCUCCUUCCCUCACUCGGACACCCAGGUGGCGGCACGAAUCUUUGCCUUUCGGACAUCUCUCAGUGGAUGUCCGCUCACAAUCUGAAAAUCAACCCCGACAAGACUGAACUACAUCUUUUCCUGGGAAAAGACUCUCCUACCCAGGAAUUGACCAGAACUGGCAACUCCGUGUUAACGCCCACUGUGACUGCUAGAAACCUCAGAGUGACACUUGACAGUCAACUCUCCCUGAAUGGCACUUAUCUAUAGCAAAUUGGCUUAUUUGAUUUGAACUUUCUUGAUUCUUUCUCUUUUGUAAGGACCUUUGUUGUUUGUAUCCCUAUGGUUGAAAUCCCUAUGUUUAUUGUCCCUGUUGUGUUUAAUAAAUAUAUCUAAUUCACUAAUGUUUACAUCAAUUAGUGAAUCGUUGUAGUGAUUAGUUAAACAAACAAAUCAAGUACUUUUGUCUCACUAAAAUAGUAAUUACCAGUAGUGGGGUAAACAUUUCUUUAUUUGCAAACAGCACUAGAUCAUUCACGUGUCUCUUUGCCCUGUGUGCAGGAGAACAAUUCAGUGCAAUGUGCUUUAAAACGCACAGCGACAAUAGCUUUAAAUUAUGUUGGACAAUUAUAAAAUUCAUGUUCUUUCAUCUUUAAUAAGGCCCAUUCAAAUAUUUCCAUUCAGAAGUUGUAUAAUCCUUAAAUUCAUGAACAAAGCAGGAAAUAUAGAAAACUUGUAUGUACAGAAACACAAAUGAACGCAACUCCUCAAGUUCCGUUUUUAAUAAACUAGUUUUUUUAAUGUUUCUGUUUAGCAUUCCUGUUUCCUAAGUAGUUCAAGUAGUUUACACAACAGUGAUAUGAUGCCAUAUCACCCAGUUAUCUGGAAGUUUGCUUUCCAACAUGUUGGCCUGUGAUCACAUCCAAAUAUAAAUUCAUUUUUGACCACUAAACAAGCUGUUCAUUUUCUUUCAUUGUAAUAUUUGUAGAGACCAGAAUAAGUUAAAUGAUCCAGCAAUUCACAAGAAAAUGAAGAAAGAUAAGAUGGACAUGUAAAGAGAGACAAUAUUUUAAGUAGGUUGAAAAUCAUCUUCUACGUGCUGUCCUUUUCAAUCACUUUGCAAUACCUCAAAUUUAUCUUGUGACCCCAUCAGUGGAAGGAACGAAAAACAAAGGCAGACACACUCAUUUCCAUUUUGAUAAUGGUUUGCCUACUCAACUACCAUUUAAAUUAUCAGUGGUCGUCCAGUCCUUGACAGUCCAGUCCUUGACAGUUACUUUUACCAUUUAAAUGAUUAAAACGAAAAUACUGAUUUACCAUUGUAGUUUUUUUAAAACCAAAAAUGCCAAUGGCUGGCCGAUAUAGAUGAAUACAAAAGACAGACAAUACAACAAUAGAAAAAUAAAAGGUCUACACAGAUCCUCCAAAGUGAGUAUUUUAAGUAUUAAAAAUCAAUAAAUUGUGUAAAUACGUGAAUGACAUGAAUUAACACUUUGCAAAAACAGUAAAGACCCAAUGCAAUGCACCUAUUUUGGAAUGUUAUUUCACUAUUUAUUGAUAUCAUAUUUAUUUAAUAAAUUAAGUAUAUAUAUAUAUAUAGACUUUUGAAUUCUGGCAUGAAUAUUUCUAAUAGGACAUGCUCAUACAUAUCUAUAUAUGUUAUAAUGUACAGAGAGUUGCAGGAAUGAGUCCUAAGACCUGGACAUCAAUCAGCGUUUUUGUACUUUUGAUCAUAACACAAACAAAAAAGCCCUCUGGUCAGCCCUUCCGAAACAACUUCACACAGCAGAGUUUCACCAUCAGUGACUGCUGUAAGAAGGCGACACUUUGCUACUAUAAUAUAUCAGCUGCAGCAAAGGUUUUUGGGUGAGUUCAGGAAACUUAUCCCUCCUUCCAUCACUUCAUGUAGCGUUAAGGAGGAACUUUGAGAAACAUUGCAUUACAUUAUAGUGAGAUAAACAAUGUCAUAAUGUGCUGAAAAGCCUUUAGUGUACAAAGCAACGGGACUAUAUGAGUAGUGUUUUCCCUAACCCUAAAACAAUAUAUCUGGGAACUGAAUUCAGUAAAUGCAAUGUGUGCCUACGUAAACAGGUUAUUGCGCCUAU
ensembl:lncRNA